rnacentral:tRNA from 1 species
CAUUAAGUGACUGAAAGAAAGUACUGAUCUCUUAAAUCAUAAUAUAGUAUAGUCACGAAUACUCUUAAUGA